ACCCAAAUUAUUCUAUGAUUCUAUGACAUCAAAUGUGCCCAGGAGAAGCACACUUGUCCAGAUACUGCCCAGCAUCAUGAUUGCAUGUUCAGUACUGGAGACCCCAGGCACCUGGAUGUCACAUAGCAGGUGUCAGAACUGCUGGGAUGGCCUGAGGGGAACCAUGUUGCCCAAGUCUCCAGCUGCCCUGACACAGAAGCAGAUCAUAAAAUCAUAGAAUCAUUUUGGCUGGAAAAGCCCCUCCAGAUCAUCAAGUCCAACUGUUAACCCAACAUUGGCACUAGCCCAUGUCAGUAAAAACGUCAUCUACACAGCUGUUCAACCCCUCCAGGGAUGGUGACUCCACCAAUGCCCUGGGCAGCCUGUUCCAAUGCCCCACAGCCCUUUGGGGAAGAAAUUGUUCCCAACAUCCAACCUCAGACUCUCCUGGUGCAAGUUGAGGCCGUUUCCUCUGCUCCUGGCACUUGUUCCUGGGGAGCAGAGCCUGACCCCCCCUGGCUCCAAGCUCCUUUCAGGCAGUUCAGAGAUCAGAAGGUCUCCCCUCCGCUCCUGUUCUCCAGCUGAACCUCCCAGGUCCCUCAGCUGCUCCUCAUGAGAUCCUUCCUAAGUGGGUGAUGCAGCUGCAGACAGCUGGGGCUGGCAGGGGAUGCAUGUGAAGAAGCAAAUUCGGGUUGAGGCUGGAGGUCAGGGCAUGUGAUGAGAGGCUGAGAUCUGGGUGGGUACAGUGGGAGAGAAGGAAAAGGCAGAUUUUAUCGGUCUCUGCAAGUCUCUGUUGGCAUGGUGCUGAGGAGACAGAGAUGGGCUCUCCUCAGGGGUGCCCAGUGAUGGGACAAGAGGCAUUAGCCCAGAUUGUAACUCAGGAAAUUGUAAUUAGUUAUCCCAGACUCCUGAGCAAUCAAGUUUUCUACGGUACUCCUGUUCCAUUUAUUUCUAAAGAGCAUUUGACAUUGCACUUUCCCCAAGGCCCCGGUGAGACUAAGGAGCAUGUUGGAGAUUGGCAAUCCUUACUCACUGACACAGAGGAACAUCCAGCCUAAUUGAGGUACCUAAUUUUGAACAGUAGCUGUGCUGACACUUCUUAACCCAUGGAAAAAGAUAUACGUCUGCAGUGAAGUCUAAAUCACUCAAUGAAGGUUUCUCCAGUGACCACAGAGAGAUGCUGGAGCAGCCACAGACCUAAGCAAGGAAGUCUCAUCUGUUUUAGAGGUGAUGAAUCCAGGCCUGGGGUUCUUGUGCUGUGACUGCUCAAUAAGAGGGUCAGGUCCUCCUUGCUGACCCCAGAUCUCCUACAAACUGAUCUGACAUCAUAUGAUUGAAAAACAUUUAUCACUUUGGUGUCUUGGCCUUCCCAGAUGCUACUGGAAACGAAAGAGAGAAGUAUCAGCCCCUGAAAACCUAUGAUUUGAACGUGGACUGAGAACAUUUUAUAGAUGCCUCUUGGGCUGACAUUGAAAUCUGACCUUGACCUCCAGAAAUGACCAGAGCUGGAAGGAAGCUUCUUUCAUUACGAAACUCCAGUUCUCCAUCCAACAUUCAAACCUUUCCACAGGUGAAAAAAGCAUUUCCAAUGCCUGGAAAAUGGGUGACAGCUGGCUUUGUGAGGUUCCCAGUUUUGUUGCCUUCAAAUUUUGGAGAAGCCUAUGAGAAAAGAGGCACAAGGACAGGAGCCACAGGAACCAAAAGAAAGAAAGCUUCAACCUCAGAAUGAGCAAAGAAAGAUUAAGUAGAAGGAGUUACAUUUGCCUGGCUGCUAUCAAAACCACUUUUCCAACUUUUCUCCUUUUAUUUUUUUCUCUCUCUCUUUUCGCACUGACAUACCUUUAACGUUUUAUGAGCUGAACUGUAUUUCAUUGCAUGAGGCACUGGCAGACAAUCUGAGAGCUUUUUAUUCUGAGGUGUUUUUCAGCUUCCAGGCUAUGAUCUACAUUGCCUCAAGCCAAAGCCAGGCUUGAGCCGUGGGCCUGGCUGAAAUUUUACAGGGGAAGGGAGUGAGGCAUCAACUUAAACAAGUGUUUGAAGACCCAAGUGUUGCAUGUUAAGAUAUGCCAAGUUUGAACUCCACGCAGCAUGCUCUCUUGGCUGAGGUGCUUACCUGGGGUAAUUAUUGCAAAAUUGACAACACCGUACAGGCUGACACAGCAACUUCACCAGUGAGUUUCACCAGCUGUGAGUGGACCUAAGAGCAGCAGGAGACCAGCAGAAGUCCCUGAAGUGAGCAGUUAACCCAUGGAAUGCCUUGCCAGAUGAUGUGAUGGAGGCAAAACAUGACUAUGGGCUUGAGAGGAGUCGUCCUUGGAAGAGACAUCCAUUGGAGAUCACUAAGACCACUUCAGCCAAGGAAUGCUCUAUGCAGAAAAUGGUCAGAAAUUGGGAAAGUGUGCAAGGGUAGUAUCAAAUGUCUUCAUACUGUUUGCAUGUCCAUUGGAGUACCAGGCUAUAUGGUCACUUACUAUAUAAGUCAGAGUGUCCACCCUGCCUCUUCCCAAAUGAAAUGGUGAAGUUAUUUUACUGUGAACAACCAAGGAGAACUGGGAGCUUCUAAUAGUUGAAUUAUAUGUAUUUUGCUUUGAAACGUAUCCCAGUGGAGGCUGAUGUUACUUUGGUCCCACAAAGAUAAGCUGCAUCCUUCUUCACUCCAGAGAGAUAAGAGUUAAGAGGAGAAAUAGAGGCCAGAAACCUACCAAGAAGGCAAGUGGCAGAAACAGUAACUGAAUACAGCUCCCUUGAACUGGUUUACUCAGCCCUUACAGGCAGUGAAUUGGUUAUAAUGAAUCAGGCAGAGGGGCCUGAUUAAAUGGAAAGUCCCUGACUGGCCUUAGUGGGUUUUGAAGAGAAAUAAACCCUAUGGUCUGCCUCAUCCUAGGGCUUGAGUCGGGGUCCGUUUCACAGAACCACAGAAUAGUUUGAGUUGGAAGGGACCUUCACAGCUCAUCCAGUGCCACCCCUGUCAUGAGCAGGGACAUCUUCACCAGAUCAGGUUGCUCAGAGCCCUGUCCAGCCUGGCCUGGGAUGUCUCCAGGGAUGGUUCAUCCACCACCUCUCUGGCCAACCUGGGACAGGCUCUCACCACCCUCAUAGGAAAACAUUUCUUCCUCAUGUCUGGCCUGAAUCUUCCCUCUUUUAGUUUAAAACGAUCAACCCUUUUCCUAUCACAACAGGCCCUGCUAAAAAGUCUGUCCCCAUAUUUCUUAUGGACCCUUUUAAGUAUAGAAAGGCUGCAGCAAAUCUCCCUGGAGCUUCUCUUCUCCAGGCUGGACCCCCCAACUCUCAGCCUGUCUUCACAGGAGAUCUGUGGGAUCUGCAGGGGUGCAGCCUGUGGGAGACAGAUGGAGGAAUCAUUACAGCUGAUUUUCCAGAGGUUUCAUCAGUGCACUCCGACCACAAGUGUCAAUCUGACCUGAUGCCAAGCAAGUUUAAUGGUGAGAUGCUGGGAUAUAUGUCUUCUAAAUGUUCAAGAAGAAAAGAGUGUGUUGCUGCUGCUACCGUCCAUCUGAAGUGAUCCUCAAUGUGAAGAGCAUAGUCUGGGACUAAAGCCAGGGUGCAGCAUGAAUUCAAAGGAUGGGCGCUAAGCCACCUCGGCUUGGUGUAAAUCCACAAUGCCCAGUCUGACCAUAAAGGAAUUACACUGCCACAGCCUGAAUGAUUCCAGCUUCCAGCUGGGGUGAAACCUGAUCAAAAGCAUCCAGGGGAAGAUUUGCACUCAUGUCUCACUCAGAAGAGGAGAGCAAGAUGGUGCCUAGAGAUGUGGAGCUUUUGGGGACAGCAGCAACUUGAGAAGGACUUCUCUAGAAAGGCACGAAGGCCUUUGAAUUAGCAGACCAGCAUUGAAUGAAAACUCUUUCUGAUUGAACCCUACAUGAAACUCAAGAUGGGAGAGGCAAUAGCUGUCACUUGGGGAGCUUGUGGGGUAUGUGUGUGGCCUUUUUCAUAUGCCAGUGAGCUUCAUCAACACUUCACCUCCCAGUGCCCGAACACCCUCUGAUGUCAAUGGAGCACGCUCAAAGUUCAGUGCAUAGGAACACAGAAUCGUAGAAUCAUUUUGGUUGGUAGAGAGCAUCAAGAUCGUCAAGUCCAAGCAUAACCUAACUCUGGCACUAAACCUUGGCCCUAAGAACCUCAAAGAGCUCAAGGGGAGAGGAUAACUCCCAUUGGUACAAGCUACCUAAGGAGGGCAUGAAUGUGCCACUAAUUGGCAUCUUAAAGGUUGGCCCACUGCUUUCUAGAAACAUACCUAGAUGACCUGGAUGACACACCUGGAAGAAAAUCACUAGCCUACAUCAUGAUGAAGGCCAACUAAGGCCUCCUAAUGUCUACAUCUGAUUUCAGAGGUGACGAAUUUAUGCCAUCCAAGUUCCUUUCUCAAACAACAUAUUUUACUAUGAUGCCCGCAGAGCAGAAAAAAAUAUAGUUGUGUCACACAUGAGCAGUGUAUUAUUGAGUUUGGAAUGCAAUAAAAUAUGUUAUCAAUAAUGAAUUACUGCAAUGCAGAGAUACUUUGACUAUUUCAGAUCCUUUUUAAUUGCUCAGUGGGUGUCUGAACAGUGCUUCUACAGUUUGUCUUGCAUGAAGAAAACAUGCUUUAGCUGUAAAACUGCUUUUAAUCACUAUUAUUUCCGUAUGUUGAAUUUCUUGCCUUCUAUAAUCUUGCUUCAGAUAACAACUUUGAGAUAAAUCCUCAUUAGCUAGAUAUGGCCAAUUUUCUUUGAAGCUCUCCUUUCUCAGUGGCCACCUUGAUAAGAAGAUGUGGCAUGGGAGCUGGUGGAGAGCUAUGCCUAGCUCUUUUUCCU